CCCCUAGAUGUUCUGGGCCGCACGCGCGCUACACUGAACAGUUCAACAAGUCUUAACCUUGGCCGAUAGGUCUGGGUAAUCUUUGAACGCUGUUCGUGAUUGGGAUAGACCUUUGCAAUUAUGGGUCUUCAACGAGGAAUUCCUAGUAAACGCAAGUCAUCAGCUUGCAUUGAUUACGUCCCUGCCCUUUGUACACACCGCCCGUCGCACCUACCAAUUGAAUGGUCCGGUGAAAUCUCGGGACGGCGGCUUGGUCGCUUGCGUCCGACUGCUGAAACUUGAUUAAACCAUAUCAUUUAGAGGAAGGUGAANUCGUAACA
rnacentral:rRNA from 1 species